rnacentral:misc_RNA from 1 species
GAUGAAGAACGUAGCGAAAUGCGAUAAGUAGUGUGAAUUGCAGAAUUCCGUGAAUCAUCGAAUCUUUGAACGCACAUUGCGCCUCCUGGUACUCCGGGAGGCAUGCCUGUCCGAGCGUCAUUAUAACCACUCAAGCUCUCGCUUGGUAUUGGAGUUCGCGAUCUCGCGGCUCCUAAAAUCAGUGGCGGUGCCUGUCGGCUCUACGCGUAGUAAUACUCCUCGCGAUUGAGUCCGGUAGGUUUACUUGCCAGCAACCCCCAAUUUUUACAGGUUGACCUCGGAUCAGGUAGGGAUACCCGCUGAACUUAAGCAUAUCAAUAAGCGGAGGA